CAGAACUAAGGUGGGCAGGAGGAGAAAGAGGGCAGCCGAGCGGUUGUGGUUGUUUGGCAAAGCUAGCCGUGAGGAAUGGGCAAAUUGGAAGUGAGCCCUGCAGCAGCUGAUCUUGGAGCUAAACCGGGAGCAGUCGGAGUCAGGCCCAGCUCUCAAGAAGAAGGCUGGCACACCCAUGGCUCCUUGAGUCCUCUCGGAGCAGCCAGGGAAGUGGUAAGAACCCCCGAGCUUGCCGAGGGAAAAUGCAGAGAAAACAAACCUGGCCAAGACCCUUAGAGUGAAUCAACAUUGAACUGGGCUGCCAAGAGCACAGGGAGCAGAUCUGACCUUCAAAGGCUGUCCCCUAGCGAGCCCUUCCUCUAGCCAAGCUCCAAGGCCUUCAGCACAGUGCCGGAAGCUUCAGAUGAGUGUCUGAACCAUGAGCCUAUGGAAGAAAUUUCAGACUCAGUACAUCAGUUGCUGUCAACCUGAAACAAUCCUUAGGCACGUGAGAUGACCCAGCAAGUAAAACUGGCAUUCUAGAGUAGAUCCCUGGAGCUCAAACGGAAGGACAGACUCCCACAGGCUCUGACCUCCGCGCAUGCAUCUUCAUCCCCUUCCCCCCACACCCACUAACAAGUAAAAUUAAAUUUUAAAAUGAUCAAUCCAAAGUGGAAUGAUUUGGGACAGCAUGCUCUGUUCCUUUUCAUUCAUACAUUCUACCUCCUUUUUUCUCUUUCUGUCUGAGUUAAAUGGUAAGAGAGUUGUGGCCAGGUAGUAUUUUAUCCAGCUGGGCAGUGGCAGUGUAUGCCUUUAAGCCCAGCAUUUUGGAGGCAGAGGCAGGUGGAUCUCUGUGAGUUUUGAGGCCAAUCUGACCUACAGAUCAAGUUUCAGAACAGCUAAAGCUACACAGAGAAACUUUGUCUCAAAAAAAAAGGAGUUGUAAAUUCUCAACUCUAAUAUUUCUAUUAGAUUAAGAGUAGAGAAUAAUGUCUUUAUUCCUUUUGUAGGUUUUUUUUUUGUGACCUAAUUACUAAAAAGCCAAUUAGCUUUUUAAAUACCCUAUAAAUACAUGAAAGUUAUUAAGAUAAUUUCCUGGUUUUCAGCAUAUAAAUCAGAAUAUAUAUUAAGCAACUCUUUAAAAUUAUUUUAUGUGGAUUAACCUAUGUGUUUGGCUUAAAGGAAAUAUAAGAUAAUCCUAUUUAUUGAUGUGCUUUUAAUUCUAGUUUUUGUUUUUAACUUGUUAUAUAGUUACAAAUAAAAUUGAAUAAGAUUA
ensembl:lincRNA Gm12056 predicted gene 12056